CUGGAGAUCAUCUACCUGCUGACCGGAGAGGUGACCAUCACAGUGCCUCCAUGUGACUCCCUAAAACCCGAGAGACCCAACAUGGAGAAGAUUCUAGAAGUCACCAAGAAGAUGAUGGAGCUGCUGACGGGAGAGGUUCCUAUAAGGUGUCAGGAUGUC